GGUUGAAUGGUGUAGUUGGUUAUCACGUCAGUCUAACACACUGAAGGUCUACGGAUCGAGCCCGUGUUUGAUCA